rnacentral:rRNA from 17 species
CGACUCUCGGCAACGGAUAUCUCGGCUCUCGCAUCGAUGAAGAACGUAGCGAACUGCGAUACUUGGUGUGAAUUGCAGAAUCCCGUGAACCAUCGAGUCUUUGAACGCAAGUUGCGCCCGAAGCCAUUCGGUCGAGGGCACGUUUGCCUGGGUGUCACAC